UACAGAGGUCUCAAGCGUUGUUCGGAUUCAUUGGGCGUAAAGGGCGCGUAGGCGGCGGGGUAAGUCGGGUGUGAAAUCUCAGAGCUCAACUCUGAAACUGCACUCGAUACUGCUUUGCUAGAGGACUGGAGAGGAGAUUGGAAUUCACGGUGUAGCAGUGAAAUGCGUAGAGAUCGUGAGGAAGACCAGUGGCGAAGGCGGAUCUCUGGACAGUUCCUGACGCUGAGGCGCGAAGGCCAGGGGAGCAAACAGG
rnacentral:rRNA from 1 species